UGCUCGAGUGGCGAACGGGUGAGUAACACGUGAGUAACCUGCCCUUGACUUUGGGAUAACUUCAGGAAACUGGGGCUAAUACCGGAUAGGAGCUCCUGCUGCAUGGUGGGGGUUGGAAAGUUUCGGCGGUUGGGGAUGGACUCGCGGCUUAUCAGCUUGUUGGUGGGGUAGUGGCUUACCAAGGCUUUGACGGGUAGCCGGCCUGAGAGGGUGACCGGCCACACUGGGACUGAGAUACGGCCCAG
rnacentral:rRNA from 1 species